rnacentral:tRNA from 1 species
GGGCACAUAGCUCAGGUGGUAGAGCAGCUGACUCUUAAUCAGCGGGUCCAAGGUUCGAAUCCUUGUGUGCCCACCA